UACGUAGGUGGCAAGCGUUGUCCGGAAUCAUUGGGCGUAAAGCGCGUGUAGGCGGUUCGAUAAGUCUGCUGUGAAAGUCCAGGGCUCAACCCUGGGAUGCCGGUGGAUACUGUCGGGCUAGAGUACGGAAGAGGCGAGUGGAAUUCCCGGUGUAGCGGUGAAAUGCGCAGAUAUCGGGAGGAACACCAAUUGCGAAGGCAGCUUGCCUGGGACGGCACUGACGCUGAGACGCGAAAGCGUGGGGAGCAACAGGAUUAAGAUGACCUUGAGUACCCUAGGACCA
rnacentral:rRNA from 1 species